rnacentral:tRNA from 1 species
UUAGGGAGACCUACCCUUGAUUACUCCGAACAAUUGAUAUUAGGAGAAUCGAGUGGUCACUCUAGGUCGUUCAGGACUUUGAGAUUAGUUUCUAGACUAUGGUUGAGGUUUAUUUCUCAUCUGUAUUAUUUCACUAGUGAAAGCUAGAGGAUAGAACAGGAAAGAGAGACUAAACACGGGCUAUUAGCUCAGGUGGUUAGAGCGCACCCCUGAUAAGGGUGAGGUCCCUGGUUCGAGUCCAGGAUGGCCCACUGCGUGGGGGUUUAGCUCAGUUGGUAGAGCGCCUGCUUUGCAAGCAGGAUGUCAGCGGUUCGAGUCCGCUAACCUCCACCACGACUGACUGGACUAAUGGAUUGGAUUAAAUUCAGCACGGUGUGUUUUGGUUAUUGCCAAGGCAUAGUCUGCUGGGUGAGAGCCUAGCAAAGAACCUUGAAAACUGAAUACGAGAGAAGUGUAAGGUAGUACACACAG